AAACUUGCGGGGAAGCUAUCGAUUUCGUAAGAAGCGGAGAAAUCGGCGGUUGUUUUACGGCUCACCUGGCCGAAACAGUUGAAGAUGUUAAAACAAUCAAGAAAGAUAAACCUGGUACGAUUCUAGUCGUAAAAGAGAAGAGGAGAAA